rnacentral:rRNA from 1 species
UACCAGACUCCUACGGGAGGCAGCAGUGAGGAAUAUUGGUCAAUGGCCGAGAGGCUGAACCAGCCAAGUCGCGUGAGGGAAGACGGCCCUACGGGUUGUAAACCUCUUUUGUCGGGGAGCAAAGCGAGUCACGUGUGACUCAUUGAGAGUACCCGAAGAAAAAGCAUCGGCUAACUCCGUGCCAGCAGCCGCGGUAAUACGGAGGAUGCGAGCGUUAUCCGGAUUUAUUGGGUUUAAAGGGUGCGCAGGCGGAGGUGCAAGUCAGCGGUCAAAUCGUGGGGCUCAACCCCAUCCAGCCGUUGAAACUGGGGAUCUAGAGUGUGCGAGAGGUAUGCGGAAUGCGUGGUGUAGCGGUGAAAUGCAUAGAUAUCGCGCAGAACUCCGAUUGCGAAGGCAGCAUGCCGGCUCCACACUGACGCUGAGGCACGAAAGCGUGGGUAUCGAACAGGAUUAGAUACCCGUGUAC